rnacentral:rRNA from 1 species
GACAGAGGGUGCAAGCGUUGUUCGGAUUUACUGGGCGUAAAGCGCGUGUAGGCGGCUCUGCAAGUCGGAUGUGAAAGCCCUGGGCUCAACCUAGGAAGUGCACUCGAAACUGCAGAGCUUGAGUCCUGGAGAGGAAGGCGGAAUUCCCGGUGUAGAGGUGAAAUUCGUAGAUAUCGAGAGGAACACCGGUGGCGAAGGCGGCCUUCUGGACAGGGACUGACGCUGAGGCGCGAAAGCGUGGGGAGCAAACAGG